GGCCCAGGUCACCGAGCAGACCAUCUGCACGUCCAACCAGUGCUCAACAGCAGCCAAAGGGGAGUACCUUCACUGCUAAUUCCUGUGGCUGAACAACUGUCACAAGUGUUUUCUUUCAAAGGAGCCUCUUGUGCACACCCAACAUUCCCACUGGCUGGGCAGAAUGAGAAGCAGGAGAAUCCUUGGCUCUGUGUAAGCAUUGCUCUCCAACAACGAAAACAUGGAUGUAUUAUCAACAUUAUUUUCCUCCUAAAUCCAAAUCACAGCACUAUACCAGCUACUACGAAGAAAAUUAAUUCUAUCCCAGCUGAAAUCAGGAAACUACAGAAGCCACAAACCAGAUAUGUGCCUUGUAUGAAGAACUGAAAUCAACCAAAUUAUUCCCAAACUACAGUUCGAUUUGAUCCCAUUGAGUUAUACAACCUCCAGUUGAAGACGUAUCCAUGUUGCAGAUGGAAAUCUUGAUAGCAGAUAAAAAGGCUCCAGAGGAAAUGAACAUCUUUUUUUCUCUUUGGAUAAUUGACUGUGGUAGGGCUAUGAUUGCUUAGAAACCCUUCUAAUUUCCAGUAAACCAAAUAAAAUUGCAAAUGGAAGUA